rnacentral:rRNA from 1 species
AGCGUACACGGUGGAUGCCCUGGCAGUCAGAGGCGAUGAAGGACGUGCUAAUCUGCGAAAAGCGUCGGUAAGGUGAUAUGAACCGUUANNNNNNNNNNNNCACUAUCGUUAACUGAAUACAUAGGUUAACGAGGCGAACCGGGGGAACUGAAACAUCUAAGUACCCCGAGGAAAAGAAAUCAACCGAGAUUCCCCCAGUAGCGGCGAGCGAACGGGGAGCAGCCCAGAGUCUGAAUCAGCUUGUGUGUUAGUGGAACGGUCUGGAAAGUCCGACGGUACAGGGUGAUAGUCCCGUACACCAAAAUGCACAGGCUGUGAACUCGAAGAGUAGGGCGGGACACGUGGUAUCCUGUCUGAAUAUGGGGGGACCAUCCUCCAAGGCUAAAUACUCCUGACUGACCGAUAGUGAACCAGUACCGUGAGGGAAAGGCGAAAAGAACCCCGGCGAGGGGAGUGAAAAAGAACCUGAAACCGUGUACGUACAAGCAGUGGGAGCACCUUCGGGUGUGACUGCGUACCUUUUGUAUAAUGGGUCAGCGACUUAUAUUCUGUAGCAAGGUUAACCGUAUAGGGGAGCCGCAGGGAAACCGAGUCUUAACUGGGCGUUAAGUUGCAGGGUAUAGACCCGAAACCCGGUGAUCUAGCCAUGGGCAGGUUGAAGGUUGGGUAACACUAACUGGAGGACCGAACCGACUAAUGUUGAAAAAUUAGCGGAUGACUUGUGGCUGGGGGUGAAAGGCCAAUCAAACCGGGAGAUAGCUGGUUCUCCCCGAAAGCUAUUUAGGUAGCGCCUCGUGAAUUCAUCUUCGGGGGUAGAGCACUGUUUCGGCUAGGGGGUCAUCCCGACUUACCAACCCGAUGCAAACUACGAAUACCGAAGAAUGUUAUCACGGGAGACACACGGCGGGUGCUAACGUCCGUCGUGAAGAGGGAAACAACCCAGACCGCCAGCUAAGGUCCCAAAGUCAUGGUUAAGUGGGAAACGAUGUGGGAAGGCACAGACAGCCAGGAUGUUGGCUUAGAAGCAGCCAUCAUUUAAAGAAAGCGUAAUAGCUCACUGGUCGAGUCGGCCUGCGCGGAAGAUGUAACGGGGCUAAACCAUGCACCGAAGCUGCGGCAGCGACACUAUGUGUUGUUGGGUAGGGGAGCGUUCUGUAAGCCUGCGAAGGUGACCUGUGAGGGUUGCUGGAGGUAUCAGAAGUGCGAAUGCUGACAUAAGUAACGAUAAAGCGGGUGAAAAGCCCGCUCGCCGGAAGACCAAGGGUUCCUGUCCAACGUUAAUCGGGGCAGGGUGAGUCGACCCCUAAGGCGAGGCCGAAAGGCGUAGUCGAUGGGAAACAGGUUAAUAUUCCUGUACUUGGUGUUACUGCGAAGGGGGGACGGAGAAGGCUAUGUUAGCCGGGCGACGGUUGUCCCGGUUUAAGCAUGUAGGCUGGUUGUCCAGGCAAAUCCGGAUAAUCAAGGCUGAGGUGUGAUGACGAGGCACUACGGUGCUGAAGUAACAAAUGCCCUGCUUCCAGGAAAAGCCUCUAAGCAUCAGGUAACAUUAAAUCGUACCCCAAACCGACACAGGUGGUCAGGUAGAGAAUACCAAGGCGCUUGAGAGAACUCGGGUGAAGGAACUAGGCAAAAUGGUGCCGUAACUUCGGGAGAAGGCACGCUGGUGUGUAGGUGAAGUCCCUGCGGAUGGAGCUGAGACCAGUCGAAGAUACCAGCUGGCUGCAACUGUUUAUUAAAAACACAGCACUGUGCAAACACGAAAGUGGACGUAUACGGUGUGACGCCUGCCCGGUGCCGGAAGGUUAAUUGAUGGGGUUAUCCGUAAGGAGAAGCUCUUGAUCGAAGCCCCGGUAAACGGCGGCCGUAACUAUAACGGUCCUAAGGUAGCGAAAUUCCUUGUCGGGUAAGUUCCGACCUGCACGAAUGGCGUAAUGAUGGCCAGGCUGUCUCCACCCGAGACUCAGUGAAAUUGAACUCGCUGUGAAGAUGCAGUGUACCCGCGGCAAGACGGAAAGACCCCGUGAACCUUUACUAUAGCUUGACACUGAACAUUGAGCCUUGAUGUGUAGGAUAGGUGGGAGGCUUUGAAGCGUGGACGCCAGUCUGCGUGGAGCCAACCUUGAAAUACCACCCUUUAAUGUUUGAUGUUCUAACGUUGGCCCCUUACCGGGGUUGCGGACAGUGUCUGGUGGGUAGUUUGACUGGGGCGGUCUCCUCCCAAAGCGUAACGGAGGAGCACGAAGGUUAGCUAAUCCUGGUCGGACAUCAGGAGGUUAGUGCAAUGGCAUAAGCUAGCUUGACUGCGAGCGUGACGGCGCGAGCAGGUGCGAAAGCAGGUCAUAGUGAUCCGGUGGUUCUGAAUGGAAGGGCCAUCGCUCAACGGAUAAAAGGUACUCCGGGGAUAACAGGCUGAUACCGCCCAAGAGUUCAUAUCGACGGCGGUGUUUGGCACCUCGAUGUCGGCUCAUCACAUCCUGGGGCUGAAGUAGGUCCCAAGGGUAUGGCUGUUCGCCAUUUAAAGUGGUACGCGAGCUGGGUUUAGAACGUCGUGAGACAGUUCGGUCCCUAUCUGCCGUGGGCGCUGGAGAAUUGAGGGGGGCUGCUCCUAGUACGAGAGGACCGGAGUGGACGCAUCACUGGUGUUCGGGUUGUCAUGCCAAUGGCACUGCCCGGUAGCUAAAUGCGGAAGAGAUAAGUGCUGAAAGCAUCUAAGCACGAAACUUGCCCCGAGAUGAGUUCU